UACGAAGGGUGCAAGCGUUACUCGGAAUUACUGGGCGUAAAGCGUGCGUAGGUGGUUCGUUAAGUCUGAUGUGAAAGCCCUGGGCUCAACCUGGGAAUGGCAUUGGAUACUGGCGACCUAGAGUGCGGUAGAGGGUAGCGGAAUUCCCGGUGUAGCAGUGAAAUGCGUAGAUAUCGGGAGGAACAUCCGUGGCGAAGGCGGCUACCUGGACCAGCACUGACACUGAGGCACGAAAGCGUGGGGAGCAAAAGGG
rnacentral:rRNA from 1 species